rnacentral:rRNA from 1 species
UACGUAGGGGGCAAGCGUUGUCCGGAUUUAUUGGGCGUAAAGAGCGUGUAGGCGGCCUUGCAAGUCCGUUGUGAAAACUCGAGGCUCAACCUCGAGACGCCGGUGGAAACUGCAAAGCUAGAGUCCGGAAGAGGAGAGUGGAAUUCCUGGUGUAGCGGUGAAAUGCGCAGAUAUCAGGAGGAACACCCGUGGCGAAGGCGGGUCUCUGGGCCGUAACUGACGCUGAGGAGCGAAAGCGUGGGGAGCGAACAGG